rnacentral:rRNA from 1 species
CAAACCUCUGAUCAGGGAA